AGAACAUUGAAGGAGCAGAUAUUUGUUUUAAGGAAGAAGAUGAUGCGCUCAGUUUUGGAAAUGUUGUUUGAAGAGCACACCUCUGAACUCCAGU